rnacentral:rRNA from 1 species
AUUGAACGCUGGCGGAAUGCUUUACACAUGCAAGUCGAACGGCAGCACGGGUGCUUGCACCUGGUGGCGAGUGGCGAACGGGUGAGUAAUGCACCGGAACGUAUCCAAUAAUGGGGGAUAACGCACCGAAAGGUGUGCUAAUACCGCAUACGCCCUGAGGGGGAAAGCGGGGGAUCGUAAGACCUCGCGUUAAUGGAGCGGCCGAUGCCGGAUUAGCUAGUUGGUGAGGUAAAGGCUCACCAAGGCGACGAUCCGUAGCUGGUCUGAGAGGACGACCAGCCACACUGGAACUGAGACACGGUCCAGACUCCUACGGGAGGCAGCAGUGGGGAAUUUUGGACAAUGGGCGCAAGCCUGAUCCAGCCAUUCCGCGUGAGUGAAGAAGGCCUUCGGGUUGUUAAAGGAC